UACGGAGUGGGCUAGCGUUGUUCGGAAUUACUGGGCGUAAAGCGUACGUAGGCGGCUUUGUAAGUUAGAGGUGAAAGCCCGGGGCUUAACCCCGGAAUUGCCUUUAAGACUGCAUCGCUUGAAUCAUGGAGAGGUUAGUGGAAUUCCGAGUGUAGAGGUGAAAGUCGUAGAUAUUCAGAAGAACACCAGUGGCGAAGGCGACUAACUGGACAUGUAUUGACGCUGAGGUACGAAAGCGUGGGGAGCAAACAGG
rnacentral:rRNA from 1 species